UUGAUCCUGGCUCAGAAUGAACGCUGGCGGCGUGCUUAACACAUGCAAGUCGAACGAGAAAUCUUUAGCUUGCUAGAGAAAGUAAAGUGGCGCACGGGUGAGUAACGCGUGGGUAAUCUGCCUCCGAAUCGGGGAUAACAUUGCGAAAGCGAUGCUAAUACCGGAUAAAAUCUGGUUGGCUUCGGUGAACCGGAUCAAAGGUGGUCUCUUUAUAAAAGCUACCGUUUGGAGAUGAGCUCGCGUACCAUUAGCUAGUUGGUGAGGUAAAGGCUCACCAAGGCGACGAUGGUUAGCUGGUCUGAGAGGAUGAUCAGCCACACCGGAACUGGAACACGGUCCGGACUCCUACGGGAGGCAGCAGUGAGGAAUUUUGCGCAAUGGGGGAAACCCUGACGCAGCAACGCCGCGUGAGUGAUGAAGGCUUUCGGGUCGUAAAGCUCUGUCAGGUGGGAAGAACCCACCAAGUGUUAAGACCACUUGGUGCUGACGGUACCACCGAAGGAAGCACCGGCUAACUCCGUGCCAGCAGCCGCGGUAAUACGGGGGGUGCGAGCGUUAUUCGGAAUCAUUGGGCGUAAAGGGCGCGCAGGCGGUUUUGUAAGUCAGAUGUGAAAUCCCGGGGCUUAACCCCGGAAGUGCAUAUGAAACUAUGAGACUUGAGUAUGGGAGAGGGAAGCGGAAUUCCUGGUGUAGCGGUGAAAUGCGUAGAUCUCAGGAGGAACACCGGUGGCGAAGGCGGCUUCCUGGACCAAUACUGACGCUGAGGCGCGAAGGCGUGGGGAGCGAACAGGAUUAGAUACCCUGGUAGUCCACGCAGUAAACGUUGAUCACUAGGUGUAGCGGGUAUUGACCCCUGCUGUGCCGGAGUUAACGCAUUAAGUGA
rnacentral:rRNA from 1 species